rnacentral:rRNA from 1 species
GAUGAACGCUGGCCUCUUGCCUAAUACAUGCAAGUCGAGCGAACGGACGAGAAGCUUGCUUCUCUGAUGUUAGCGGCGGACGGGUGAGUAACACGUGGAUAACCUACCUAUAAGACUGGGAUAACUUCGGGAAACCGGAGCUAAUACCGGAUAAUAUUUUGAACCGCAUGGUUCAAAAGUGAAAGACGGUCUUGCUGUCACUUAUAGAUGGAUCCGCGCUGCAUUAGCUAGUUGGUAAGGUAACGGCUUACCAAGGCAACGAUGCAUAGCCGACCUGAGAGGGUGAUCGGCCACACUGGAACUGAGACACGGUCCAGACUCCUACGGGAGGCAGCAGUAGGGAAUCUUCCGCAAUGGGCGAAAGCCUGACGGAGCAACGCCGCGUGAGUGAUGAAGGUCUUCGGAUCGUAAAACUCUGUUAUUAGGGAAGAACAUAUGUGUAAGUAACUGUGCACAUCUUGACGGUACCUAAUCAGAAAGCCACGGCUAACUACGUGCCAGCAGCCGCGGUAAUACGUAGGUGGCAAGCGUUAUCCGGAAUUAUUGGGCGUAAAGCGCGCGUAGGCGGUUUUUUAAGUCUGAUGUGAAAGCCCACGGCUCAACCGUGGAGGGUCAUUGGAAACUGGAAAACUUGAGUGCAGAAGAGGAAAGUGGAAUUCCAUGUGUAGCGGUGAAAUGCGCAGAGAUAUGGAGGAACACCAGUGGCGAAGGCGACUUUCUGGUCUGUAACUGACGCUGAUGUGCGAAAGCGUGGGGAUCAAACAGGAUUAGAUACCCUGGUAGUCCACGCCGUAAACGAUGAGUGCUAAGUGUUAGGGGGUUUCCGCCCCUUAGUGCUGCAGCUAACGCAUUAAGCACUCCGCCUGGGGAGUACGACCGCAAGGUUGAAACUCAAAGGAAUUGACGGGGACCCGCACAAGCGGUGGAGCAUGUGGUUUAAUUCGAAGCAACGCGAAGAACCUUACCAAAUCUUGACAUCCUUUGACAACUCUAGAGAUAGAGCCUUCCCCUUCGGGGGACAAAGUGACAGGUGGUGCAUGGUUGUCGUCAGCUCGUGUCGUGAGAUGUUGGGUUAAGUCCCGCAACGAGCGCAACCCUUAAGCUUAGUUGCCAUCAUUAAGUUGGGCACUCUAAGUUGACUGCCGGUGACAAACCGGAGGAAGGUGGGGAUGACGUCAAAUCAUCAUGCCCCUUAUGAUUUGGGCUACACACGUGCUACAAUGGACAAUACAAAGGGCAGCGAAACCGCGAGGUCAAGCAAAUCCCAUAAAGUUGUUCUCAGUUCGGAUUGUAGUCUGCAACUCGACUACAUGAAGCUGGAAUCGCUAGUAAUCGUAGAUCAGCAUGCUACGGUGAAUACGUUCCCGGGUCU